rnacentral:rRNA from 1 species
AGAGUUUGAUCCUGGCUCAGGAUGAACGCUAGCUACAGGCUUAACACAUGCAAGUCGAGGGGCAGCAUGUCGUGUGCUUGCACACGAUGAUGGCGACCGGCGCACGGGUGAGUAACGCGUAUCCAACCUUCCCUGGGGUCCGGAAUAGCCCGGUGAAAACCGGAUUAAUGCCGGAUGUCGUGCGAUGAUGGCAUCAGAGUUGCACGAAAGGCUUGCCGCCUCGGGAUGGGGAUGCGUCUGAUUAGGCAGCAGGCGGGGUGACGGCCCACCUGGCCUUCGAUCAGUAGGGGUUCUGAGAGGAAGGUCCCCCACACUGGAACUGAGACACGGUCCAGACUCCUACGGGAGGCAGCAGUGAGGAAUAUUGGUCAAUGGACGGAAGUCUGAACCAGCCAAGUAGCGUGCAGGACGACGGCCCUACGGGUUGUAAACUGCUUUUAUGCGGGGAUAAACGAGGGGACGUGUCCCCUUUUGCAGGUACCGCAUGAAUAAGGACCGGCUAAUUCCGUGCCAGCAGCCGCGGUAAUACGGAAGGUCCGGGCGUUAUCCGGAUUUAUUGGGUUUAAAGGGAGCGCAGACGGCCCGUCAAGCGUGCAGUGAAAUGUAGCGGCUCAACCGCUGAGUUGCUGCGCGAACUGGCUGGCUUGAGUGUGCUGAAGGCAGGCGGAAUUCGUGGUGUAGCGGUGAAAUGCUUAGAUAUCACGAAGAACYCYCAAUUGCGAAGGCAGCCUGCUGUGUCACUACUGACGUUGAGGCUCGAAGGUGCGGGUAUCGAACAGGAUUAGAUACUCCUGGUAGUCCGCACGGUAAACGAUGGAUGCYCGCUGUGUGCCUGUAGAGGUAUGCGGCCAAGCGAAAGCGUUAAGCAUCCCACCUGGGGAGUACGCCGGCAACGGUGAAACUCAAAGGAAUUGACGGGGGCCCGCACAAGCGGAGGAACAUGUGGUUUAAUUCGAUGAUACGCGAGGAACCUUACCCGGGCUUGAACUGCAGCGGAAGGAAACAGAGAUGUUGACGCCCUUCGGGGCCGCUGCGGAGGUGCUGCAUGGUUGUCGUCAGCUCGUGCCGUGAGGUGUCGGCUUAAGUGCCAUAACGAGCGCAACCCCUGCCUUCAGUUGCCAUCGGUUUAAGCCGGGCACUCUGGAGGGACUGCCACCGCAAGGUGCGAGGAAGGUGGGGACGACGUCAAAUCAGCACGGCCCUUACGUCCGGGGCUACACACGUGUUACAAUGGGUGGUACAGAGAGCCGGCGGCCCGCAAGGUCCGUCCAAUCGUGAAAGCCAUCCUCAGUUCGGAUUGGGGUCUGCAACCCGACCCCAUGAAGCUGGAUUCGCUAGUAAUCGCGCAUCAGCCAUGGCGCGGUGAAUACGUUCCCGGGCCUUGUACACACCGCCCGUCAAGCCAUGAAAGCCUGGGGCGCCUGAAGUCCGUGACCGCGAGGGUCGGCCUAGGGUGAAACAGGUGAUUGGGGCUAAGUCGUAACAAGGUAACCGUA